CAUGCAAGUCGAACGCUCGUAGCAAUACGAGAGUGGCAGACGGGUGAGUAACACGUGGGAACCUUCCCUAUGGUUCGGAAUAGCCCAGGGAAACUUGGGGUAAUACCGGAUAAGCCCUUCGGGGGAAAGAUUUAUCGCCAUUGGAUGGGCCCGCGUCGGAUUAGCUAGUUGGUGGGGUAACGGCCUACCAAGGCGACGAUCCGUAGCUGGUCUGAGAGGAUGAUCAGCCACACUGGGACUGAGACACGGCCCAGACUCCUACGGGAGGCAGCAGUGGGGAAUAUUGGACAAUGGGCGCAAGCCUGAUCCAGCCAUGCCGCGUGAGUGACGAAGGUCUUCGGAUUGUAAAGCUCUUCUGGCGGGGACGAUAAUGACGGUACCCGCAGAAUAAGCCCCGGCUAACUUCGUGCCAGCAGCCGCGGUAAUACGAAGGGGGCUAGCGUUGUUCGGAAUCACUGGGCGUAAAGCGCACGUAGGCGGAUGUGCCAGUCAGGGGUGAAAUCCCGGAGCUCAACUCCGGAACUGCCUCUGAUACAGCACAUCUUGAGUUCGAGAGAGGUGGGUGGAAUUCCUAGUGUAGAGGUGAAAUUCGUAGAUAUUAGAAGAACACCGGUGGCGAAAGCGGCCCACUGGCUCGAUACUGACGCUGA
rnacentral:rRNA from 1 species